rnacentral:rRNA from 1 species
GUGAGUGUAAGCAAAUACUCAAAAAUAAACGUACUCAGUUCGGAUUGUAGUCUGCAACCCGACUACAUGAAGCUGGAAUCGCUAGUAAUCGCGAAUCAGAAUGUCGCGGUGAAUACGUUCCCGGGUCUUGUACACACCGCCCGUCACACCAUGAGAGUUGGGAAUACCCGAAGCCUGUGAGCUAACUUUUAGAGGCAGCAGUCGAAGGUAGAAUCAAUGAUUGGGGUGAAGUCGUAACAAGGUAUC